rnacentral:lncRNA from 1 species
CACUUUAGUACCCCGUAGUUUAAAGUGUAUCAAUUUGCCCCCUCCUGUGGUUUUGUUUUUAUUUUUUCUAUAGUUUUUUUCUUAAUAUUUCGUUAAAUUAUAUGCAAAAAAACAUCAGAUAUCCAUCUAGAUUUACCGAAUAUUUAUUUUAGUACUCUUUAAUUUUAAUUUUGUUACUGAUUUGAGAUAAAAAAAAAUAAUAAAAUUGAUAAAAAAAGAGAAAAACGAAACCACAGGGGAGCAAAUUGAUACACUUUAAACCACAGGGUACUAAAGUGAGAAAGUUAGAAACCACAGGAGGGUUUUUGAAGUUAUCCCUAAAGUUAAUUAGAUUCUGGACUAUAUAAUUGGUAUCAAUGCGGGUACUGAUAGAAACGAACUAGGCUGGAAUGCUAUUAAUAGCACCAAUGACUUGCACCAGUAACUUGGUGCUAUUAAGUUUUCUAUCCUUAAAUUAAAAAAUGUGCGGUUAGGAUGCUGUGGGCUCCCUAGGGUUGAGUGGGAGGUUAGGUGAACAGUAUAAUCGAACGGAUGAAAAUGAUAAAAAAGGUAGAUCUAACAGCAGAAAACUUGAUAGCAUCAAAUAUUUCGUGCUACCGAUAGCAUCCCAGUCGGACUCCGUAGAAACAGUCGCAUUGUUAAUAAAUUACACAAUAUAAAAAUCAUUAUAUGUCUUAUAAUAAGAAAAGAAAAUAUUUGCAAAGCAGUCACUUGGCAGUUGGCAUGU